rnacentral:rRNA from 1 species
UACGUAGGGUGCAAGCGUUAAUCGGAAUUACUGGGCGUAAAGCGUGCGCAGGCGGUUUUGUAAGUCUGACGUGAAAUCCCCGGGCUCAACCUGGGAAUUGCGUUGGAGACUGCAAGGCUAGAAUCUGGCAGAGGGGGGUAGAAUUCCACGUGUAGCAGUGAAAUGCGUAUAGAUGUGGAGGAACACCGAUGGCGAAGGCAGCCCCCUGGGUCAAGAUUGACGCUCAUGCACGAAAGCGUGGGGAGCAAACAGG